UGGGGAAUAUUGGACAAUGGGCGCAAGCCUGAUCCAGCCAUGCCGCGUGAGUGAAGAAGGCCUUAGGGUUGUAAAGCUCUUUCACCGAUGAAGAUAAUGACUGUAGUCGGAGAAGAAGCCCCGGCUAACUUCGUGCCAGCAGCCGCGGUAAUACGAAGGGGGCUAGCGUUGUUCGGAAUUACUGGGCGUAAAGCGCGUGUAGGCGGAUACUUAAGUCAGGGGUGAAAUCCCGAGGCUCAACCUCGGAACUGCCUUUGAUACUGGGUAUCUUGAGUUCGAGAGAGGUAAGUGGAAUUCCGAGUGUAGAGGUGAAAUUCGUAGAUAUUCGGAGGAACGCCAGAGGCGAAGGCGGCUUACUGGCUCGAUACUGACGCUGAGGCGCGAAAGCGUGGGGAGCAAACAGGAUUAGAUACCCUGGUAGUCCACGCCGUAAACGAUGGAUGCUAGCCGUUGGAUAGUAUACUAUUCAGUGGCGCAGCUAACGCAUUAAGCAUCCCGCCUGGGGAGUACGGUCGCAAGAUUA
rnacentral:rRNA from 1 species